AAGUAUGUUUUAAUAGCAAAACGUAAAACAAAAUGAAUAAAUUGGAUAAAUGUGUGAAAAGUGUACUGUAUAGGCAUGAAUCGGAAUAUAAAACCAUUUAAACUCUACUCCAAAAAUGAGUUAUGUUAUUUGUUUAUAUAACCAUACCAGCCGAUAUGGUAUGCUCACCAGGAAAAGCAUUUGAUCCGUCCAUUUAAUAAAUGCGGACAAUAUUAAGUUAGUCGUUUGAAUAGACUAUAUCUGUGUAUUAUUGCUGAAAAAAAACAUCACACGAACAUGAAUCAACACUUUUGUUUGUCCGUAAGAUUCAUGCAUGUUGUAAUGUGGAAUAAACAAAAUCACAAUAGAAAUUCGACGUUGAAUUUCAUAUACGGAAGUAUGUUUGCGGUGACAGUACAGAAAACACCUCUAGCAGUAAGAUGCAAACUAGUUGGCGAUCGGAACUUGGCAAUCGAAGCGGACAAGGUUGAUAUUCAAGACAUGGAUACGAGCAAAUCCAUAAAUACAUUUCCGUUUACAUGGAUACGGAAUUUGGGUCGUUAAGGACAUCAUUUAUUUUAUUUCGAUGUCGGAAAAAAAAACAAUGCGAACUUGGGGAGGGAACGAUUUAUAUCGUAAACCACCCAGACAGCGCGGAACAUUGUAAGCAAAUAUAUGACUUGCUGGUUGCCAGUAUACAUAAUGUGUAACGUAAAAAAAUACAACAUAAUAAAAUUUACUGGUAUAAUGACAGAAAAAAUAUAAUUACUCUUUUCAUGACACUUGUAAUUUAUUUUAGUGUAGUAACGCCCGUCGAAUAUUCGGAAUUUUAGAUAAAGUGAUAAAAAUUAA